UACGAAGGGGGCUAGCGUUGUUCGGAAUCACUGGGCGUAAAGGGCGCGUAGGCGGCUUUAUAAGUCGGGGGUGAAAGCCUGUGGCUCAACCACAGAAUUGCCUUCGAUACUGUAGAGCUUGAGACCGGAAGAGGUAAGUGGAACUGCGAGUGUAGAGGUGAAAUUCGUAGAUAUUCGCAAGAACACCAGUGGCGAAGGCGGCUUACUGGUCCGGUUCUGACGCUGAGGCGCGAAAGCGUGGGGAGCAAACAGGG
rnacentral:rRNA from 1 species